rnacentral:rRNA from 1 species
GAUGAACGCUGGCGGCGUGCCUAAUACAUGCAAGUCGAGCGAACAGGCGAGGAGCUUGCUCCUCUGACGUUAGCGGCGGACGAGUGAGUAACACGUGGAUAACCUACCUAUAAGACUGGGAUAACUUCGGGAAACCGGAGCUAAUACCGGAUAAUAUAUUGAACCGCAUGGUUCAAUAGUGAAAGACGGUUUUGCUGUCACUUAUAGAUGGAUCCGCGCCGGAUUAGCUAGUUGGUAAGGUAACUGCUUACCAAGGCAACGAUGCGUAGCCGACCUGAGAGGGUGAUCCGCCAGCUGGGAACUGAGACACGGCCCCGACUCCUACGGGAGGCAGCAGUAGGGACUCUUCCGCAAUGGGCGAAAGCUUGACGUAGCAACGCGGCGUGAGUGAUGAAGCUCUUCGGAUCGUAAAACUCUGUUAUUCGGGAAGAACAAAUGUGUAAGUAACUAUGAACGUCUUGACGGUACCUAAUCAGAAAGCCACGGCUAACUACGUG